ACCUGGGUGGCUCAGUCGGUUAAGCAUCUGACUUUGGCUCAGGUCAUGAUCUCACAGUUCGUGGGUUCAAGCCCCAUGUCAGGCU
rnacentral:tRNA from 1 species